GAAUCCUGUUGCUAUAGUUGUAGCUCUAAUCCAUAUAAAUAAUCAAUUACAUCAAUAUGAGGCAACGAUUGGAAUAUUAACAUAUGCUCAGCAGCAUUUGGGGGUUCAGUUGAAGGAGUCAUGGUAUGAGAAGUUGCAACUCUGGGAUAGUGAAUGCAUGUUUUGGACUAGUUAGGCUGCUAAUGCUUCCUGGAACAUGGGUGAGUGGGAUCAGAUGGCAGAAUA